AAAACCUUUUUUCCUUUCACUCUCAUGAAAUCCAACAAUGCUUACUCACAUAGUCACAAACCCUACCCAUGACACCACCACAUUCUCUUGCUUCCCCCUCCCUUACACCAUGCCCAAAUCGCGUGACUGUCGCGUAAUCGUGGUCAACCUCGUCACCUCCUUAGCCCGCCGUUGCAUCUCAUUUAUCUACAAUGACGCUCUAACUCUCUGUACCCCUCUAAGAACUGCCACCCUCGGCCGCGAAAGAGCUCGCACUUCUCCCGGCUCCAAAAACAUACCGCAAUCAACUGCGCGAUGUGGUAGAGGACGCAUUCUGUUAUGCUCCAUGCUUCUUGCGUGGUACCCUAUGAUCCGAUUCUUCUUCUUUUUUCUUCGUCACAGAUAGCUUGACUUUAGCAUUUGACUCGUGAAGUAAUAUAAUCCAAACAAGCUUCACAAACAUUCUUUCUGCUCAACAAGUCUUCACAGUUUCAACCAAUGACCUUCACCUUUCUCUCUGCGUCCUCUCCCUUUAAUUCAGCCAAGAGAUGAUGGAAAAGGAUCUUUAGCACUAAUCACUUUACAGGAAGAAUUUUCAGGCUUUAUGUUUGUUCUUAAGCAAAAUGAAAAUACUUGGUUCAAGUACAAUGUAAAUGACUUUUAUAUCCCUCUCUCAAGUUCUAGUAGCUUUCUUAAUAGUGAUUGAGACAAGUAUUGUGGAACCUUAUGCAUAAACUAUUGUGAUACCUGAGACUUCUGUGCGAUCAAAGACAUAGUCCUUAUUGGAUCCAAAAAUAUGCUCAGGAAUAGGCACAUGGUAUGAACUAUUAUGCCAAGGUUUUAACUAGGAAUCUCAUAAAUCUGGAAGAUGGAACAUAGAGCUUAAGGAAAUGGCUUCAAAACUAGCAUCACCUGGUUUCACUAUGGUUUGGUUGCCAACACCUACUGAAUUUGUUUCACCAGAAGGGUACAUGCCAAAGGAUUUAUAUAAUUUAAAUUCCUGGUACUAGAUUAGAAGCAUUCCAAUUCUUCUAUAGUUAUUUAUUUCAAUCUUAUCUGAAUACUUUGAUUUGAUAGAAGGUUCAAUGUUAGGCAAAUUACUUAUGUUCUACAGUGCUUACACAUUCAGCAGCAUAUGCUAAAUGGACUUUCAAAUAUUUUCA